rnacentral:lncRNA from 1 species
AGAGCGUGGAGGUGGCGCGGGCGCGGCGGUGGACCUGGGGGUCGUCACUCCUGCAGCUGGCAGCCGCCGCUGGGCGCUUCCUGUCGCAUCUCUCUUGUCCGGCGGGCGCCCAUCCCGCCCCGCCCCGGCCCGUGGACCUGCAAACCGAGGCUCAGAGCGGAUUUGCCCUAGGGGCUUUCACGAGCUUAGCAGAGGGGUUCCCGGCGGGGUUCCCUGGGGUCACGGGGCGCGAUGAGCAGCGAAGAAAGGAGGCGAGGAGCUGCGUCCGGGCUGGGUGCUCUCUGAACGCGAGGAGGCGGGAUGCGCUCGCCGGGGUCCAUGAUGUGCUCGGCGCCCGUCCCUGGGCCCGGGAAUUCGGCCGCUGGGGAACCCGGGCCAGCGAAUUCGCCCGCGAUCUCCGCGGAUCCCAGGACUGCCAGCGCUUUGGCCCUAGAUGGACGGUGGGGAAUGGGGUAGGGGGCUCCGGAACCCCUAACGUGGAUUACUUGGUGCAUAUCGCCCAGGCAUGGAAGACCCACCACCUCGUCUCCACCCAUGGAUUGAUGCCUUCUGCCGAACAGGUCGCUUACCUGGAGGUGAGUUUCCCCGCGAUUCCGGGGAAAGGAUCUGAUUGGACUGCCGCUUCAUUAUUCAGGCCGUGGUCCGAUGACGGUGGGACCAGAGAUUCCAGAGAGGGGCCCUCAGCCUCCAGGAGCCAGCCUCUUCCCCCGGGGAUGGAGCUGAGCACGCACGGCCGCAGUCGGCAGUGUGAACCUGAGUGGAACCAGAGAUUCGUGGCUGCUGUGAGUAGGUGCUUCUGACGGGGAAAGAAGGACAAGAUGAGAGGCCUGGAAGGAAGGACCGAUAAAGGGCUGUUCUUCCUCGCCCACGCUUCCCACCAGGAACUUCUGUGGAGCCAGAGUUUGCCGCCAGAACCCCCACAGGACCUGGGUGAAACAGGACCAUCUCUUAAGAGGCAAGAGCUCUUGAUUUGAUUGAGGAUUCUUAUUUUGGAGAACAAAGCAACUUCCAGAUUUGAGAAGACCUGCAGUUGAAGAAGACACCAUUGUCCCGGAUCCCUUGUUCUUCCUUCGCGUGGGAAAUGUUUCUUGGCGGGUGCCUGGUCUUAAGACUCCCCCACACCGGCCCCAGGGAAGCCAAGGACUUUCUGCCACACCCUUCCUCGCCCCCCACCUCCCACGUCCGCUGUGCCUUUGGACUCGGCAAUUCUUCUUGUUUGCUCCAUUAUCUUCCAGCCGGAUACAGAGUGAAUAGUUAACUACCCGCAGGUCAAUGGGGUCUUAAUUUUUGUUCCUGCUCCCUCUACAGAGGCCAGUGUCUGUGUGUUGCUAUGCAAGCGGCCUUGGAAUUGCAUCCCUUCUCAUUGAUUUGGGAUCUGGCCCCCGCAGGUUCCAGAGCAAUGCGGGUCCAGGCAGAAAUUCUUCAAGCUCUCAGGAUGUUGGAGGGGGCGCUGGCCGCGAGCUGGACCAUGAAGGCUGGCGUUCCCCACAUUCAGCUUUCUUGGGUUCGGAUCAUAAGCAGGUGUAGAUCUGGAGAAGCAGAAAAUGAACACAUUUUCUACUGACACCGAUGCACGGUCAGCGGUGAAGACCUUCUCCCAGCUAGCAUUUGGGUUCUGUGUCCAAACGCGGCGCUUCAUGGCAGAGUAUCCAGCCACCAGAGUUGGUGUGUCUUGAGGACCUGAAUUCUUGAGUGUGUGCUGGUGACACAGCCCUCUGACAGUCGAUGGGGCCUCACAAAACACAAGUCCUGCCUUUUCCUUUUCACUCUGUGGCCGUCAUACAUACGGCUAAAAACAUUUCCUAGAGAUCAGUCAUGGUUCAGUCGUGUCCAAAACGCAGAGCCAAAGAUGCAUUUUCUCUUUUCACAGCAAAUGAAUGACUUGCCUUCGGAAAAAGAAUGAAAGCCAGACAUUCUGCAUCUUUCCCGUGUUGUAGAUGAUGCAUUUGGAUGACCACUUUGUGACUUUGGUGUCUUAGAAGGGAAGCAGUGGGGUCCUUGGCAUCUCAGAUUCACCACAAAACAGACGAGGAGAACUUCUGGCGGAUGGUUUGUGCUUUUGAAAUGGGAGGCUUGUUUGUGGGCUUUUACCUUCCUUCCUUGACCUGCAGACACCUCAUUGCAUUAGAUUCCUUUGGGUUUUAAGAAGCAGAGACUUGCUGAUACUGCUCCGUACGUGCUGGUUUGUUUCGAGUUGCCAUGGACGUAAAGAAGAAAGGAAGCAGCCCGCCGAGGCGCUCUCCACCUAGGCCUGCCCAAGAAGCCCAAGUCGUUCCAGAUAGCCAGGGAUAGCAGAACCGAACCACCCUGGCCAUCUUGAUCUUCUGUUUGCACCAGCAUCCACUGUUCCCAGGAUCCUACCAUGGUGAUGAGCUGAGGGUGACUCAGUUGGCCCAGGACUGAGGAGUUUCCUGGGAUGCAGGACUUUUUAGUGCUAAACCUAGGACAGUCCUAAGCAAACUGGAACAACCAGUCACCCUACUGGGUGACUCGAGGACCCUGCCUCUCUUCUACUUUCCCUGCUGUGACUGGCUGAUGCUCUUGAUGGGUCUGGCCAGUCGCCAUUCAAAACUCUUGCGUCAGGCAACUUCAUUGGCCACUGGGCUACCUAUAGAUGGGUGCCCGUGGACCCAGCACCAACCCAUCUUGACCAGAUUUGUUGUUUCCAGGGUCAUAGGGUUGCAUAAUCUAGAAUAAAAGCCUGGCUGUAAACAACCAGCUGAGACCACUUCCUUCAGAAGACUGCUGUGGACAGGUGGCCCUGGCAGGCAUUCAAGGUAAAAUGAGUGAGUCAGGCCACACGCUUCCCAAAGCCUCUGCCAGCGCUGCCAUCCACAGGGCUGCCAUAUUGGAUGCAGUUCAUGACAAAGGAUUUGCUACUUUUUGUUCUCUCUGGCUCUCCUCCUGCCUUCCCUUCAGCUUGCUCCAAGAUCAUGUGCCCGGGAGCUCUGCCCACCGAGGAUGCCUCUUGUGUGAGGACCCUAAUCCUCAGUGGGUACCUGGAGGGUCCCGGGCCAAGAUCUCCACCUUCCUUAUGAUCCUGGGCCCCCUUCCAAGACAUUCCCACCCCUGGCUCCUCUGACGCCUCCCUCCCCACACCUGCGCUUCCUGUUUCAGGUUCCAGAAAGGGGCCCGGGGUUUCCGCGGGUGUCCUAAUCGCCAGAGUUGAGCUGAUAGGAAACCAGGCCAGGCCAUUCCACCCACGGGGUCGUGACCAGGGCCCUCUUGGGAGUUUCCUGGUUUAAAAAGAAACCAGAUUGAGGCCUGGGGGGUGGACUUCCUGGAGGAUGGCGGUCCAUGGGACAGGCGGCCGUUCCAGAGAAGAGGAAAGCCAGCAGGAACCGGCCUCGGGGGAAUUUCCUGGGCUGCGGUGUCCCAGUCUGAGGGGAGAAGCCUAGCUCUUGACCUUGCAGCGGGGUAGGGUUCCCGAGCACCCCCUGUUCCAGCCCCAUCUGCCCCCAUCCCGUUCCCAUUGAAAUAAUCACAGGGUAGGCCCGGCCUGGCUCCGUCGCCAUGACGACCGUUCUAAUUUCUUUUCAUCUCAGUGUUCCUUCCUAAAGGGACCUCCCCCAGCCCCCCGCUCCCCCCUGCAACGUGUUUUAAUUGUAAUAACUCCUGGGUUCUCGGGAGGUAAUGACCGUGUGUGGGGAGCCAGCGCUGGCCUGGCUCCAGCCCCAGCGUUGCCCGCCCAGCGGCGCCAGGCAGCCCUCUGCCUCCCAGCAGGGGCUCUGGAGGAGCCCGGGGCGGGCUUGGGCAGGGUCUGCCAAGAGGGUCUGCGGCCCUGUCGCUAAUGAACACAAGCCGGGGAGCCUCAGCCCUGCGGGGUUGUGUCCUGAGGACAUUUUAUUGGCACGCCUCCCCUUUACCCACCCCCAACCCCCCACGUCUCUCCUCACACCUUGAAGGGAUCCAUGGACCAUUACUCAGCCCCAGGCCCCAGCCGGCCAUGCUGCUUUGGGAUGUGACCCUGCAUGCGUGUUCAAAUCACCUGGGGUCUUAUUAUAACACAGUUUCCAAGUCUUGGGGAGCCCCACCACCUUGCAUUUCCAGCACCUCCCAGGAAACGCCCACACUGCCUGGCCAAAGACCACAGUCUUGAUAGCCAGCGUCCAGAGCACGCCUGUCCAACAGAACUUUCUUCGGAGAUGGAUAUGGCACUAUUUCCACGCUACGACCUAUUAUCCACAGGAGGCUAUGGAGUAGUUGAGAUGCGGCUAGUGUCACCAAGGAAGGGGGAUUUAAAUUUUAGUAAGCGUUCUUGUUUGGGUUCAGGCUCAUGGCAUGUGGAAGUCCCACGGCCAGGGAUCGAACCUGCACCAUGGCAGUGACCCGAGCCACAGCUGUGACAACGCCGGAUCCUUAACCCACUGAGCCACCAGGGAACUCCUGACUGUUCAUUCACUUAAAUUUAAAUAACCACAGGUAGACUGGUGGCUACAUACUGGGGAGCUUAGGAGGUUCCACUGCUCAGCGCAGGUCCAGACUUGGCUGCAAAAGGGAGGCGCCCGGGGGUGCGGGGCAGCCUCCUGGCAUCGUGCAGCCUGAAUCUGCUCCCGUCAACCCUACCUAUGCUGCGGCGACCCACCCUUUGCCAGUUCCUGUCCUGCUUUAUGAUGGACUGCCGAGAAGCAAGCAGAAGAUCUAAUGGCCUGGCUUGGAAAUAAGAACCUGAGUUGUGCCCGAAGCCAGAGACCUCUGCACACACCCAGUUUUUCUGGGAAGUCAGUUACAUUGGAAGCAAGGCUGAGGUGCCUGGGGCCAUGGUGGACUCCAGACGCUGUUCUAGGACGGCUCUCAUACUCCUCAUAACAGUAGGAGACAGUUGAGGAGGUGAUGCAAUAACGUUGCAGAAUCUCUCCGUCUCCUUUCCUUCUAGCAAAGCCCUCCCGGGCCGAGCUUUCCCAUCCGUGCGCUGAAAUAUUAGAUGUUCAGCUGGAAGUCCAACAGCAAAAUAUUUCUGAAAUUGUGUGUGUGUGUGUUUCUUUCUUUCUUUCUUUUUUUUUUCUUCUUCUAAUUUAAUGUGCCAGACAAGCCUCCCUGUAAUUAAAACCAGAAACAAGGACCAGACUUAGACAGAGAUUUGAAGGCUGUAAAAUUCUAGGACAGGUUUAUGUAAAGCAAUUAAAAAGGGAGUUAAAAAUUGUUAAAAAAUUAAA